rnacentral:rRNA from 1 species
AUUGAACGCUGGCGGCAUGCCUUACACAUGCAAGUCGAACGGCAGCACGGACUUCGGUCUGGUGGCGAGUGGCGAACGGGUGAGUAAUACAUCGGAACGUGCCCAGUUGUGGGGGAUAACUACUCGAAAGAGUAGCUAAUACCGCAUGAGAACUGAGGUUGAAAGCAGGGGAUCGUAAGACCUUGCGCAACUGGAGCGGCCGAUGGCAGAUUAGGUAGUUGGUGGGAUAAAAGCUUACCAAGCCGACGAUCUGUAGCUGGUCUGAGAGGACGACCAGCCACACUGGGACUGAGACACGGCCCAGACUCCUACGGGAGGCAGCAGUGGGGAAUUUUGGACAAUGGGCGAAAGCCUGAUCCAGCAAUGCCGCGUGCAGGAUGAAGGCCUUCGGGUUGUAAACUGCUUUUGUACGGAACGAAAAGCUUCGGGCUAAUACCCUGGAGUCAUGACGGUACCGUAAGAAUAAGCACCGGCUAACUACGUGCCAGCCGCCGCAGUAAGAC